GGCAGCUGUUUUUGCUUUAUCUGACUCUGAUGGAGAUAGUCUGCUAAUAACCAUAGCUGGGAUUUCAUCAGAGGGGAUGAGUCAGUCCUUCAGCUCACUGCCGCCCUGCACAAAGCCAUCCACUGGGUUUUUGCCGGGAUAAUGAGUUGAGUCAGCUCACCAAAGGCUGCACAAAGAUUGCCCAGAGCCAGCGCGGGUGAGCAGUGGGAAUGCAGAGCCAGGAGUGGAAAGGGUUAAGACGCAACCUCCCCGUCCUGGCAACAGGAGCUCUUAGAUCACCUUGUCCUAGGCUAUGGACUCAGCAAAAUGAAAACUUACCUGGCAGUGAGGUCGGCAGGAAGCUUUUACAUGAGAUAGGGAUCCUUUCUUUAAAGGUCGUUUGGAAGAUCAGAGUGCAGGCAGGAAAGGGGAAAAGAAAUUAGAUCUGCUGCAGAGAGUACCUCUCCUCCAUGGAAGCUUACAGAAGCUCCAGUUGAGCAGCUACCCUGCAGUGUCCCUGGAGCCUCUGCUGUGCAAGGGCUGCUGUAUGAAGAGCACCAUGUGGGAUGGGAACAUAGCAUCCUGUCCCUGUGGUGGAGGGGAGUUGCUGCACACAGGAUACUCUGGUGUGGGCUGCUGACAUCCUGGACCAAAGACUGAAAAACCUAAAGGAGCACCGGCAGCUUGCACCUGUGGCCCACAGGGGCCUGGACCUCCAGAGGGACUGAUAAGAGACUGAGUGAGCUGAGCUACCCACAGCAGGGACUUCCUGAAUUUACCAUCUCACUUCAGAAUAACAAAAGGGGUUUUUGUUUCAUAUUAUUCAUUCUUUAUGCUUGUGGGUCCUUUGUUAAAUAAAUAGUUUUUUCCUUUUUUUUCUCCAA